rnacentral:rRNA from 1 species
CUUAAAUUGAAGAGUUUGAUCAUGGCUCAGAUUGAACGCUGGCGGCAGGCCUAACACAUGCAAGUCGAGCGGAAACGAGUUGUCAGAACCUUCGGGG